UACGUAGGGGGCAAGCGUUGUCCGGAAUUAUUGGGCGUAAAGGGCGCGUAGGCGGCCUUUCAAGUGACGGGUGAAAUCCCUCGGCUUAACCGAGGAACUGCCUGUCAGACUGGAAGGCUUGAGACCGGGAGAGGUGAGUGGAAUUCCCAGUGUAGCGGUGAAAUGCGUAGAUAUUGGGAGGAACACCAGUGGCGAAGGCGGCUCACUGGACCGGUACUGACGCUGAGGCGCGAAAGCGUGGGGAGCAAACAGG
rnacentral:rRNA from 1 species